GUCAUCACAGUUUCACCAUGGUGACUACUGAGCGCCUUCUGAGGGUUUCCCUCCUUGCCCUGCUGAUUCUGGAGACUCAUGGCUUUCAAAGGUUCAAAAUCCAAGCACCAGAGCAGCGGCAGCAGUUCCAAUACAGGGGGUAAUGUUGCCUCUCAUCAAGGCACUGGUGGUGGGCACCCUUGACCUGUGCCCUAGACUGCUUCUGGAGGUGUGCCCAAACCAAUGCAAGCGCCUAGUCACCCCCACUUUGUGCAGUGCCUGUUCUUGUUGCUCUAAGACCUAUGCCUGAUGCAGGAUAUACUGCCAGUUCUGGUCUCUUCCUACCUGUUCAGGCAGGAUAUGUUGAAGGUGUUGCUAUGCCACUCCAGGCAGGAUAUGUUGCUGGCUCUCAUCAGCCUGGAGCUGCUAGGGCUAACUUGCCAGAGACCCACUGGUCUAUUCCUCCUAAAGUCUUUUUUGGAAGAAUCAACCAACACCCAGCCCCAAGACAGAAGCAAGGUUCUACCACCAUUCCCUCCAGCACCCCCUGCAACAGCCCUCCAGUCUGUGAGACGUCUAAUGUUGUGAAGGAAGCUGAACUACCAUCAGCAGACAGAAGAGUUUGGUUAUCUAGCUAUGGGGCCUGUUCAUGGUUUUCCACCUGUAGUUCUGCCACGUCCUGGUGUGGGUGUUUUGUGGGGCUACCCUCUUCCUUACCCUUACCCUGAUUUUGGCUACAUGCUUCUGUAUGGCCUGUACCCUCCUGGCACCUACACUACGUUCAGCAAAGAACACAAAGGGCAAAGACUACUACCAGACCAUCCACUACCUGAAAGAACAUGGUUCUGAUGCUCCUGACACACCCAGAACCCUGGAUCUGGGCAACAGGAGGUCUUCCCAGCAGCCCCUUGGAUCAGCAAUCGUCUAUGAUGGAAGGAAUGUCUUGGGUAUUAAUUGUAUUUUAACAAACUAGUAAAAUGCAA